AGAAAAAACUUGGAGUAAAACAGGGCUGCUAACUUUGUUUUGGGUUGUUCAAUUCAAUCCUUUUUCUU
rnacentral:tRNA from 1 species